GAUGAACGCUGGCGGCGUGCCUAACACAUGCAAGUCGAGCGAACAGACGAGGAGCUUGCUCCUCUGACGUUAGCGGCGGACGGGUGAGUAACACGUGUAUAACCUACCUAUCAGACUGAGAUAACUUCGGGAAACCGGAGCUAAUCCCGGAUAAUAUCUUGAACCACAUGGUUCCAUAGUGAGAUACGGUUUUUCUGUCACUUAUCGCUGGUUCGGCGCGGCAUUAGCUAGUUGGUAAGGUCACGGCUUAUCAAGGCAACGAUGCGUAGGCGACCGGAGGGGGUGAUCGGCCACACGGGAAGUGAGACAGGGUCCAGACUCCUGAGGGAGGCAGCAGUAGGGAAUCUUACGCAAUGGGGGAGAGUCUGACAGAGCAACGGGGCGUCAGUGAUGACGGUGUUCGGAGCGGAAAGCCGUGUUAUUAGGGGAAAACAAAUGUGUCAGUAGCUGUGCAGGUCGUGACGGUACUUGAUCAGGAAGCAACGGCUAACUACGUG
rnacentral:rRNA from 1 species